rnacentral:rRNA from 1 species
GACGAACGCUGGCGGCGUGCCUAAUACAUGCAAGUAGGACGCAGUUGCGAACGUGUGAGUAACGCGUAGGUAACUGCCUGUUAGAGGGGAAUAACUAUUGGAAACGAUAGCUCAUACCCCCUACUUGUAGAUGGACCUGCGUUGUAUUAGCUAGUAGGUAGGGGAAUGGCCUACCUAGGCAAAGUUACAUAGCCGAGCGUGGAAGGUGGUCGGCCAACUGGGGACUGGACAAAGGCCAGAACCCCUACGGAGGCAAGCAGUGGGGAACUUUGGAAAAGGGGGGAAACCUGACCGAGCAACGCCGCGGGAGUUAAGAAGGGUCUCGGAUUGUAAAGCUCUGUUGUUAAGGAAGCGGUACUUAACCAGAAAGGGACGGCUAACUACGUGCCAGCAGCCGCGGUAAUUC